rnacentral:misc_RNA from 1 species
UCCGGUUGGCCCGGGCGGUCUCGUGUGAAAAAUACAACACACGACAAGGGUUGCGCUCGUUGCGGGACUUAACCCAACAUCUCACGACACGAGCUGACGACGGCCAUGCAGCACCUGUCACCGAUCCAGCCGAACUGACCCCAGUCUUUCGAUAGGGUACGAUCGGGAUGUCAAGCCUCGGUAAGGUUCUUCGCGUAUCAUCGAAUUAAACCGCAUCCUCCACUGCUUGUGCGGAUCCCCGUCAAUUCCUUUGAGUUUUAGCCUUGCGGCCGUACUCCCCAGGCGGAGUGCUUAUUGCGUUAGCGUCGCCACGGCAGGGGUCAAAACCCGCCACAGCUAGCACUCAUCGUUUACAGCGUGGACUAC